rnacentral:lncRNA from 1 species
CGCCGAUGGGAAUCCUAUCGGCGAUGAUUCCAAGCCCGCGGGGACCCCAGCAAGUGCAUAUGCCAUGGGCUCGGGCCACGUCGACCCGUUGGCGGCCAACGACCCGGGCCUCGUCUAUGACCUUCAUUACUAUGAUUAUAUCCAUUACCUCUGCGGCAUGGGCUUCACUGACGCACAAGUCGGAGCCAUCGGUCGCGGUUCGGUGCAGUGUUCUAAGGUCCGGGCGAUCAGCCCGGAACAGCUGAACUAUCCUUCUAUGGCGGUGUACCUAAGUGCUAGUACGACCCAGGUGACGGUCGACCGAACGGUGACGAAUGUCGGGGACGCCGUUUCGACCUACGAGGUGAAGUACGACGAACCGGAAGGAGUGAGAGUUGAAGUUACGCCUGAUACGCUGCAAUUCUCCCGAGCCGGGCAGAUGAAGGAUUUUCAAGUGACAUUAAGCGUCGAGCCCGGGAGCCCAACAGUUAGGAUGGCGGGGCAAGUUUUUGAGGGGCAAAUGGCGUGGGUCUCCGGAAAGUACUACGUAAGGAGUCCUAUUGCCGUCACAAUCCAGUGAAACACGGUAUUAGUUCUCGAGUCCCAUGUGCAAAACAACGUACUAGUUCUUUCCCCGGCGUGUAAAAAAGAAAACAUAAUAUAAAAUAAAUAAAAAACAUGUUUGUCUACCAAAAGGCUCUACUUCGUGGAAACUAAGAUUCUUCUUCUUUUUUCUUGUUUGUUUUUGUUUUUUUCUUUUUUUUUUCUUUUUUUAUUAUUAUUAUUAUGGUGUCUGAUCAGAUGAAGCAAUCGGACUGAGCCCAGUUUGAGUGGAGUGUGCACUCCGAGAAACCAACUACAAUCCAUUCCUCGUGGGUCAACAGAGCAAAAUUAUUGCCUAAAAAUAGCCGUACAAGUAAAUAAAAGGUCAAAAAAGUAUGGGAACAAAAGUAGUGAAAACCAAAGAUUCUCGAAUUACGCCCAUAUUCUACCAAGCGCGACAAAAGUUAAACAUUUUUCAAGUAUCCUAUACAAAACCAGCAAAUACAACUAGAAAUUAACUAUUUAAUCCAAAAUAAAAAAAAUGUUUGAAGACCAACACCCCCCCGCUCCUCAACUAUAAGCAAUCUUAAAACAGGCCCCUUCAACUUGGCCUUUAUAUUUUUAUUUGCACCUCCCCACUGCCGAUUAUUUGAAAUUGAGUGAUUUUUCGGAAAUAAAUUAGAGGCUCUAUCAAGUUCAUCUAUGGUCUCAUCAAUUUAAUAAUUUUAAUUAUUUUUUAACAAAUAAAAUUAGGACAAUUAACGACUAUUAUCUAAAUGAGCUAUUAAUUGUUUUUUCCGUAAAAAAUAGCUAUAUUAAUUAGAACAACUUAAAAAAAAAAAAUUAGUGAGGUGUCCAUUCCAAAAAAGUCGAGGAGCCUAUUUUAUACUUGAGGGGGCUGCAAACAAUUAUAUAUCUUACUUAAUUAACAACUAUCCUGAUCGGACUCCAAAUAAAUUAAAAAGAAAUAAGGAAAUGAUUGCAUCCAAAACCAUGCCCAAAAAACAAAAAAAAAAAAGGAAAUUGAAAAGUUCUCCCUGCUUGGUCAAGGAGAGAACCUAACCAGCUUCAGUGGCAAUCCCACUGCUCGUUCAGUCACUUCUAUAAACCGGCUCUUUGUUUUCAGCAAUAAAUAAAACACCACUUCAAGAACAUUUAUACGCUUAACCUUUCCAACUACCCUAAUAUAUAUAUAUAUAUAUAUAUAUAUAUAUAUAUAUAUAUAUAUACACGNCGUCUUAUUUGUUCACUAGUGUGGUUUGUAUUAUGUGAAAAUUUUGUCACAGAGGUAAUGAAAUAGAAAGGUACGAUAGCCUUGUAUGAUACAAUAUUGGAUACCCCAACUCCCCGGAGGGGGGGAAGUUGAAGAGAGAUUAAAGUUAGGGUAAGGGGCAAUUUGUUCUCUAUUAUUGGCUGCACUUCAGGACAGUGUUCUCUAUUAUUGGCUCCACUUUGUGGUUAGAAACUUAAAUAUUUUAAGUUCCUGUAGCCUACUAUGCCUGGAAAUCAGGCUAACUAGGGGAGGCAAUCUAAACUUGCUGAUAUUUUUCAUGACAAUGAACCAUUCAUUGAUAUCAUGGUAAAUUUAGUAUUAUAAACCUUUGCCCUUUGGACGCAUCUAACAUAUCUAAUAAAGAAAACAUACAGAUCGUAAUGAACAUUGUAUGCUUGCAUUUGCUUAAUGAAGAAAAAGGGAAUUAAAAUACAAAGAUUUUGCAUAACCACAUAAAGUUGAAGGAAUAAAGCUCGACGUACCUUAGAAUAUGCUCCAAAAUAAACUGCUUGCUUGCUUGCGGAUAAUGCCAGUUAUCAUCCUCUCAUAAAUUGCACACAGGACAGCAUCUUCAGUACAUUUUGGUGUACUGAUAAAAAAAAUGCUCAAAAUAGAGGACUUAUGAAUACCCUGAAUUCAUCAUGAUUUUAGAUAUUGUAAAACAUUGCAAAGUAUGCUUCCGAAAGUUAAAUUAGAAUUGUACAUACUUGAUGCACGGAUACCCUUCAGAAGUCUUAGCAACAUCUGACAGUUGUUUAUGUCUGAUGCAGUGUUUUUGUUACGCCUGCGAAGUAGCUGCUCCCUGUAAGCAGUGGGAAGGAACAUAUGGGCAUUGCGAUGUAUCGAAAAAGUAAUAAAGGAGAAUUUAGAAGGCUUGGUAUGCACUUCCAGGAGAGAAUGGAAUUUAAGAAUGCUGAUCUGUAGACCCCCUUACUCUGUUCCAAGAGGAUUUGGGGGAUAUCUUAAGAAGGUAAAUGUUUUGGUAGUGUAUUGCUAAAGGCUUUUUUAUACCAGGGACUGAUAAAUACCAUCAUAAGUCGAUAAAGAAUCACAAUGGAAUUUAACUUCUUUCAAAUUAAUAAGACAUAAACACGGGCAUAUCGUAACUACGUCCAACCCCACGAAAACUAUCAUACUUGGGAUUCUCGCUAUUCGUAGAAUUCUAACUUUUCCAGCUACAAGUGGAAUUUCUCUAUGCUCUACCAUGCAUGCCCUGCGGCCUCGCAGGGAACUGUCUCAACACUAUUCCUUCAACCAAAGAUUACGAAGAGGAGGAAGGGAAAAAAAAAAGUCGAGAUGUUUAAAGUAACUUUUUAUCUAUUCCAGUUAAGCAAACUCUGGCUUUGGCCACUUUUAACAAGUGCAUAGUGCCGCAAACUAGGCAACAACCUUACCAGCUAAAAUAUUAUUCCUCAACAAAAGAAAACAGCAUAUCUAACACGACCAAAAUCAAACACAUCGAUUGGAUUACUACAAUUACAUUGUUCCCGAAUCCCGAAUAAUUUUAUAACAUCAACACAAGGACAGUAUUAGCACAUUCUGGUAGGGAAAUUCGCACCGACUUCGCUUACACAUUCAUUCAAAUGAUCAACUGCACAAAAAUUACAGCAACACAAACAUAUUACAAAACAGACUAGUUAACUUUGUGUAGGCAUUAAGUAACGGAGAUAAUCAAUCAAGCAUCAUCAUCAUAAGAGGCAUGGAAGUCCGUAGAACAACCUGGGGCGUCUGGAUCCUCGGCGCCGCAGCAGUCGUAGAACUUGGCCGCAUAAGGCGGAUCAUCCGGUCCAAGCUCGUAGUACCUUCGAUCAACAAGAAUAAAAGAAUCGGGAAGGAUCUAUUUAAUCCUUCGAUUUGAACAGGUUGGCUUAACUCUUCAGAUUAAUCUGAAGAAGAAGAUGAAGACGAAGAAGGAAAAAGAGAGAGAGAGAGAGAGAGAGAGAGAGAGAGAGAGAGAUCGUGGUGUGGUUAGUGUUUAGGGUUUAGGGAUUAGUCGGUGACCUCUUCUGGUCGUCGUGGCGUCGGCAAACGAAGAAGGAAGGGUGGAACCUGCAGGAGGCGGGCGUGUUUUUGGGGGGAUCGAAGCGUUGCUUGCAUCGCCGACACAGCUUCUCCACCGCAGCAGCAGCAGCAACCACCACGCCCUCUACUGCUUCCGACAUCUUCUUUCUUUCUUCCUUCCUUUCUUUCUUUCUUUCUCUCGCUCUCCCUCGCCCUCCCCCACUCGCUCUCCCCCUCCCUCUCCGCCCCUUGUCUUCUCUGAUCCCCGAGCCACGCGUCGUCACGAGGCCCAUAUAUAUAGAUAAGGCCGGCUUCUUGGGCCGGCCCAUUGUGACGCGGGUGCGAGCGGAUCGGACGGUUCAGAAAGUUUAGGUCAGGCCCGCUCCCGGAUCAAACUAAACCGAAAACUCGCAGGGAUUGCGAUUGCGGAGUCAUGAGCUUUUGAAAAGAACUUCCUUGGUCGGGAUGGUAGGAAAAUUAUGUUACGUGCAGUUAAAAAAUGUGAUUAAAAAAUAUGAUGUUUAUUUUCGUACGUAAUAUUAUAUUCCGCAUAUCGCGAUUAGUUGGUUAAGAUAUAUUUUUUACGGAGAACGCAGAAGUAUAUUCCUAUAUUCUUUUACCCCAUCUUUAUUUUAUCUAAUAACAUUAAAUAACUUUGGACGUUUCCUAUAGAAAAUAGGAUUAGAGUAGGAACUGGUGACCUACCUAGAGUAUAUAGGACUAGAGGUUGAACUGGCUUUUUGGCAUUCAGUUUAUUCUUGUUUAAGUAUUUUAGUUUUAGGAACAAAGCAGUGGAACACCCAAAUAUCAUCUCAAGUAAAAUUAACUACCAGACAACAGAAAAUUACGGCAGGGACAUUAAGGACUUCACCUUCAUGAGCAGCAAUCUCAGACAGAUAAGUUGCAUUGUGCCUUGUGUUUUCACUCGGGUCAGUGAAUUCAAUGAUUAAGCCGUACUUUCCAAUCUGCAUGUCACAACAAAAAAUUUACUCAAAUAGAAACUUUUAUAACUAAAAAUUCUUAAACAACAUAUGGAACUAAAAUAAUGACAUAGAACACCUGAAAUAAAGAACAUAGAACAGACAAGUAAAGCAGAACCUGUUAAUUGACAAGAUAAUAAGUAAUUCUUAGUGCAUCUUUGUUGGAAGAAGAAUUUGAGGAACACUUGUAAUUAAAAUAGCAUAUUAUUCAGGGGUUGAUUAUGUAGAUCAUGACAUACUAAUAAUUCCGAUAUAUUUAAGGCCUAUUAGUUGGUAAAAGAUAUACUUUCUCAUUUGACAAUCAUUUAGUAGUUUGAUCCUCAGCUUGCCUCUUUGCUGUACCAGAUGGGGUGUUUAACUUGCCUCUCACAAAUAAAUUACUCAUACAAAGUUUCAUAUCUAUUCCUAAAAAGUUUGAACUAUAAAAUUUGUGUAAUCUUGAUUGUCAAAUACAUUUCUCCAACAUUUAAAAGUAUGCAAAAUUCUAUUCAUGCAGGUUGACUAUUGUAAGUUCACGCGCGGUAGAAAUAUACUUAAAAAUAAUUUUUAUUCAAGAGUAGGGCCAUUUUAAGAAAGAAAAAGUUAACUUUAACAUUCAACUAAUGGAGAGGAUGCAUUUCCAAACUAUGCACUAUGGAGAAACAUAUUUCAAGACUACAAUUUUGGAGUAAUUAUGUAUUCAACUACUUUACAGUUUACAGUGAUAAUAAUAUGCAUGAAAAAAAAUUUGAAAAAAGAAUAUCAUAUAAGUGAUUGUAAUAAUAAGUAGUAUAACUGGGAGAUUUUCCAAAUUUCCCUGUACGUAUUGCGGUAUUGGCAUGUGCAUGGGAACUUCAGCAUUGGCACCUCUUCUAUGAAAAGGUGAAUAAGCUGGUGUAUCUAUUAUUGCGUUCAACAAAACGCCCGUAUUGCCAUUUGCAGCUAUACAUGUAUGUAGUUCAAAAGGCACUUGAUUUGGAACUAGGUAGAAGAAAACACUUCUGGGUCUUUGGAUUCGUCUAGCACGAUUAGAGAGCAGGAGAGAGAGUUCACUUAUUGCAUUUCAUAAUUCAUAUAAGUGCACCACAUGGCUUCACUUACUACGGAUCAUUAUUAGUUAUCCAUAAUGUAACCUGUUUUCUAUAAUUAAUCAAAUUAUUUCUCGCAACGAUUUGUCCGUGCAUGGUUAUUUCUUGCGAACAUUUGGAAAGGAUCCUAUUUAAGGACCAUAUGCCUCUCCUCUUUGCAAGCACACCUUCUCUAUUGCGUUGCUACCAUGGAAAUUUUACACUCAAUCUUCUACUUGCUUAUUUCUUUUUCCUUCUUCCUAUCCAAUCCAACUCUUCUCUUGGUUCACUGCCAAAUAAAGCCCAUUUCAAAUGACACCCAAAUGCAGGUCUAUAUUGUUCAUGUACAAAAGCCUGACAGCACGAGCUUCCGUCGGUUCAAGGAUCGGAAAGAGUGGUACGCGUCCUUCUUGCCCAACACCACCCUCGACUCCGGCAAGCCGCGCAUGGUCUACGCGUACCGCCAAGCGAUCAGCGGCUUCGCAGCGUGGCUCACCUCUCAAGAAGUAGAAGCCAUGAAAUCUACGGAUGGCGUUCUCGUAGCCUACCCCGACAGCGAGUAUGAUGCUCAAACCACCUACACCCCGGAGUUCCUAGGACUAAACGCAUGGGAGGACGGCGUUUGGUACGACUCUCAAUACGGGGCGGGGCAAAUCAUCGGGGUUAUCGACACCGGAUUUAAGCCCGGUCAUCCUUCCUUCAGGGAUACUGAUGUAAAUCCGCCGCCAGAGACGUGGAACGGAAGCUGCUACUGGAAACAUUCCGUGUGCAACAACAAGCUCAUCGGUGCAGUGGGAUACAAGCAUGGGCGCACCGUCUCACCUGAAGACAAGAACGGUCAUGGAACCCACACAGCGAGCACAGCUGCGGGGAAUUUCGUGGAUGAUGCUCACGUACUCGGCAUGGCACGCGGCACGGCGUCAGGGACGGCACCUAAAGCUCAUCUAGCAAUCUAUAAGGUGCUACACAUCACCAAAACUGCGAGUACUGGUACGGUUGUCAAAGCGCUUGUUAGUGACACAUUGAGGGGCAUCGACGAAGCGAUCCGGAAUCACGUAAAUGUGCUAUCCAUGUCCCUCGGGUUGGAGAAGCAACGGCUGCAUGCGGACUCUAUUGCCAUAGGAUCAUACGCAGCAAUCACCAAAGGGAUCGUCCCGGUGGCCGCUGCCGCAAAUGCAGGCCCCUUCGCGAGUGUCAUAGCGAAUGAUGCGCCGUGGAUACUUACCGUCGGAGCAAGCACUACAGACAGGAGGAUAAGGGCCAUUGUCAAGCUCGGAAACGGUAUGGAGCUCUUCGGCGAAACAGCAUACCAGCCGGAGGGAUUCAACUCGACUCAGCUACCGUUGGUUUAUCCAGGGGUGCGAAAGACGCAAAAGACCUUGAAUUGCUUGAACGGCUCCAUGGACACUUUCGAUGUUAAAGGGAAAAUCGUGUUGUGCGGGGUUGGACAUAUUACAAACAUCGAAAAGGGUGAGAUCGUUAAGGCAGCAGGCGGUGCGGCGAUGAUACUAAUGAACCAGCCGUGGAAUGGGAACACGACGUUCUCCGAACCCCACGUCAUCCCGACGGCCCAUGUGAGCUUCAGCGAUGCGUGGAAGAUCAUCACGUACUUCAACUCCACGCCUAACGGAACAGCAGCAAUCACCUUCAACGGCACACAAUACGGCGUUCAACCAUCACCCUCGGUGGCUUACUUCUCGUCUCGCGGCCCUAGCCUCAUGAACGGCAACAUCAUCAAGCCGGACGUCAUCGCACCGGGCGUCAACAUUCUAGCCGCUUGGCCGUUCGAGGUAGGACCUAAACCCAACCACACCCUUCCGCCCACAACUCACACAUUCAACUUCGAAUCGGGAACGUCGAUGGCGACCCCUCACGUGGCCGGCAUUGUGGCAAUGUUAAAGAAUAACCAUCCUGAUUGGUCUCCCGCCGCCAUUAAGUCGGCAAUAAUGACUACAGCUUACACAGUCGACGUCAAUGGGAAGCCUAUCGGCGACGAUUCCAAGCCCAUGGGGACCCCAGCUAGUGCAUACGCCAUGGGCUCGGGCCACGUCGACCCGACGGCGGCCAACAAUCCAGGCCUCAUCUAUGACCUUCACCAUCAAGAUUAUAUCCAUUACCUCUGCGGCAUGGGCUUCACCGACAAACAAGUCGAAGCCAUCGGCCGCGGUAAGGUGCAGUGUUCUAAGGUCCGCGCGAUCAGCCCGGAACAGCUGAACUAUCCUUCUAUUGCCGUGUACCUAAGUGCUAAUACGACCGAGGUG